AGUGAACGCUGGCGGUAGGCCUAACACAUGCAAGUCGAACGGCAGCACAGUAAGAGCUUGCUCUUACGGGUGGCGAGUGGCGGACGGGUGAGGAAUACAUCGGAAUCUACUUUUUCGUGGGGGAUAACGUAGGGAAACUUACGCUAAUACCGCAUACGACCUACGGGUGAAAGCAGGGGAUCUUCGGACCUUGCGCGAUUGAAUGAGCCGAUGUCGGAUUAGCUAGUUGGCGGGGUAAAGGCCCACCAAGGCGACGAUCCGUAGCUGGUCUGAGAGGAUGAUCAGCCACACUAGAACUGAGACACGGUCCAGACUCCUACGGGAGGCAGCAGUGGGGAAUAUUGGACAAUGGGCGCAAGCCUGAUCCAGCCAUACCGCGUGGGUGAAGAAGGCCUUCGGGUUGUAAAGCCCUUUUGUUGGGAAAGAAAAGCAGCAGAUUAAUACCCCGCUGUUCUGACGGUACCCAAAGAAUAAGCACCGGCUAACUUCGUG
rnacentral:rRNA from 1 species